GCCUGGAUGGCUCAGUCAGUUAAGCAUCUGACUUCAGCUCAGGUCAUGAUCUCAUGGUUUGUGGGUUCAAGCCCCGUGUCAGGCU
rnacentral:tRNA from 1 species